UAGGGAAUCUUCCACAAUGGACGAAAAGUCUGAUGGAGCAACGCCGCGUGAGUGAAGAAGGGUUUCGGCUCGUAAAAACUCUGUUGUUAAAGAAGAACAUAUCUGAGAGUAACUGUUCAGGUAUUGACGGUAUUUAACCAGAAAGCCACGGCUAAAUACGUGCCAG
rnacentral:rRNA from 1 species